ensembl:lncRNA
UCUUGUUGCUUUGGCUGGAAACAUGCAAAUACAAUUCAGCACAGGGAAGCAUCAGCUUGUGUCUUCAUACAUCUUAUACAAUGAAACUAGAACACAAACUGCUGUCCCUGUUGUCAUGACAACACUAAGCUUUGCAUGUAAAAUCCUGCAAACCGGUCUGAGUGUAUUACUUUCAGAUCAAAAGAGUAUUUUUUUUUAAACUUCUGCUUUACCCUUUACGGCCACUGGAGCAUUAUGUGGUUCCCUCCAUGGAUGAUGUUUUCAUUGUUUAAUGCAGUCACCUGGAGCCCCAGACAAACCUUCCAGAGCAGAGUUAUCAGGAAUAAUCACCAGUAAUUAGGUAAAAAAAAAAAAUCUGAUUCUACGCUUUAUGAAAUACACUUUAUUCACCAGUCUCUAAACAUCAAAGCAACCUUAAAAUUACAGGCAUUCAAAAUCUACAGGAAAAAGAAUUCCACAAAGGCACAGACAGUAGUCAGCAACAGCCUUGUUAAAGGUUAUAUUAAUAAAGGCUAAAGCUAAUCUUUGCUACAAUAUAAUCUUCCAGAAACAAAUGCAUGAGCAGAAACAGUCCUUGCCACACAAGCUGGAGUGUCGCCCUUACGACAGGCCUCGCUUCUUGGCAGUCAGACUGCGAUGCCCUGCUCUCAUUCAGUGAAGCUGCAGCAGGACAGUGCCAGAUAAGUGCACAUAAACACAUCCAAGAUCCAAAACCUGGACAUAAAUGUGGAAAAUUAAAAAAAAAAAAAUCCUGUGUAACCCAUUUUCAUUUCUAACCUGUCAAAAAUGCCACGAUAAAAGAAGUGUUCAAAUUAAAUUCAAAGUAUAUUUAGGAGUACUGUAAUGAUGUCUUUUUUCUGUGGCUCACGUGAAGAUGAAACAUAAGUAGGAUGCUGUAGAGUAGGGGUGGGGGAACUCCAGCUUCAAGGCCCGGUGUCCUGCAGGUUUUAGAUGUGUCCUUGAUCCAACACAGCUAAUUUAAAUGACUAAAUUAUCUCUUCAACAUGUCUUGCAGUUCUCCAGAGACCUGGUAAUGAACUAAUCAUUUGAUUCAGGUGUGUUGACCCACAGUGAUAUCUAAAACCCGUAGGACACCGGCCCUCGAGGCCUGGAGUUCCUAACCCCUGCUGUACAGCAUCCUGCAAUGACUCAUGACUGUUGUUGAGCUGGCUGUCACUCGGUGCUCACUUACUUAGCUACACCUGU